rnacentral:rRNA from 1 species
GUCUACGGCCACACCGCUCUGGGAUUGCGGAAUCGGGCCUAGUUCCUAUCAGGUCUGGUCAUUACUUGGAUGGGAGACCUCCUGGGAAUACCGGGUGCCGUAGGCU